rnacentral:rRNA from 1 species
UAAGACGGGGGGGGCGAGCGUUGUUCGGAAUUACUGGGCGUAAAGGGCGCGCAGGCGGCUUGGGAAGUCUUGGGUGAAAGCCCCCAGCUCAACUGGGGAACGGCCUGAGAAACCACUAGGCUGGAGUGCUGGAGAGGGAAGCGGAAUUCCCGGUGGAGCGGUGAAAUGCGUAGAUAUCGGGAGGAACACCAGAGGCGAAGGCGGCUUCCUGGACAGACACUGACGCUGAGGCGCGAAAGCUAGGGGAGCAAACGGGAUUAGAUACCCCGGUAGUCCUAGCUGUAAACGAUGGGUACUAGAUGUGGGGGGUAAUUGAAAGUCCCUCCGUGUCGCCGAUAACUCAAUAAGUACCCCGCCUGGGGAGUACGGUCGCAAGGCUG